UACGUAGGCAGCGAGCGUUGUUCGGAGUUACUGGGCGUAAAGAGUGCGUAGGCGGUUGGCUAAGUUUGGUGUGAAAUCUCCCGGCUCAACUGGGAGGGUGCGCCGAAAACUGGCCGGCUAGAGUGUGGGAGAGGUAAGCGGAAUUCCUGGUGUAGCGGUGAAAUGCGUAGAUAUCAGGAGGAACACCUGCGGUGUAGACGGCUUACUGGACCAUGACUGACGCUGAGGCACGAAAGCGUGGGGAGCAAAC
rnacentral:rRNA from 1 species